rnacentral:rRNA from 1 species
UAAUUGAAGAGUUUGAUCAUGGCUCAGAUUGAACGCUGGCGGCAGGCCUAACACAUGCAAGUCGAGCGGUAACAGGGGAAGCUUGCUUCYCGCUGACGAGCGGCGGACGGGUGAGUAAUGUAUGGGGAUCUGCCCGAUAGAGGGGGAUAACUACUGGAAACGGUAGCUAAUACCGCAUAAUCUCUCAGGAGCAAAGCAGGGGAACUUCGGUCCUUGCGCUAUCGGAUGAACCCAUAUGGGAUUAGCU